GAUGAACGCUGGCGGCGUGCCUAAUACAUGCAAGUCGAGCGAACAGACGAGGAGCUUGCUCCUCUGACGUUAGCGGCGGACGGGUGAGUAACACGUGGAUAACCUACCUAUAAGACUGGGAUAACUUCGGGAAACCGGAGCUACUACCGGAUAAUAUAUUGAACCGCAUGGUUCAAUAGUGAAAGACGGUUUUGCUGUCACUUAUAGCUGGAUCCGCGCCGCAUUAGCUAGUUGGUAAGGUAACGGCUUACCAAGGCGACGAUGCGUAGCCGACCUGAGAGGGUGAUCGGGCACACUGGAACUGAGACACGGUCCAGACUCCUGCGGGAGGCAGCAGUAGGGAAUCUUCCGCAAUGGGCGAAAGCCUGACGGAGCAACGCCGCGUGAGUGAUGAAGGUCUUCGGAUCGUAAAACUCUGUUAUUAGGGAAGAACAAAUGUGUAAGUAACUAUGCACGUCUUGACGGUACCUAAUCAGAAAGCCACGGCUAACUACGUG
rnacentral:rRNA from 1 species